ACGGUACGUGUCCUUCCGCCCUGACUUCCUGUCUCCCUCGGGGACCCGGGAGGGUCGCCCCCCACUGCUAGCGUGGAGCUGACUGGCGGAGCCUGCGCGGUGAGAGGAGCUUGCCCGCGGCCACUGCGCAGGCGCCGGGCAGCUCGCCGGACUCCCGCUGUGUUUCUCCAAAAGUUACAGUCCCCCGGGUGGACCACCGUCCAGCGCAGCUGCACACAGCAGAGAAGGGAAAAGAAAACUCCCCGGGGGCUCCGUUGGCUUCUCUGGGAGUGACAAAGAUGCUUUCCCACUAGAAGCCCGGAAGCCUCCUCCUUUGCAAUCGGAUAAGGGCUGCAAUGAGCACGACUCAUUCUUUUGAAGCCCCCUGCUAGGAAGAGCCACUUGUGUUUGGGCCCGCGGUGCCUGGCCAUCCCCUUCCAGGCUGGAUCUGCAGAGUAUCUGAAGAAUAAUAAUUGGAACUGACACCGCCUAACUACGUGACAACAGACAGGGUUGUUGUCAGAAAAGUGUGAAUGCCGUGGCCAGAUUACCCUCAUUUGUGGCUAAAUCUGGGAUGUUACUUUUGAAAGAAGUCAUUCUGGCAUCAUCGAGAGUCACUAAAAUUCAGAAAGACCAGAAGAAGAAGCAAUACGAUAUAGGAGAAAUAACAGCCUAGGAGUCCGGAUGUCUGGAAUUUAGUGCCUUCUACAACCAAAGAGCCAGGUGACCUUGGAUGAGUACAAAACCUCUUUGGGGCUUAGUUAUUUCUGUAAGAUUAGAAGAUUUGAUAGAUGGCCUCAAAGUCCAUUCCACCUCUAUAAUUCCAGGACUCCAUACUUGGAAAUGCGUUAGCACACUGCUUAGAGCAUCGUAGAGAAUUCAAAGGAUGUGACUACCUCUCCAUUCCUUUUUUCUUUUUCUUUCUUUUUCUCUCAAUCCUUUUCAUGAACUCAGCCAAAGUCUCAAUAUGUAUUUAUUUCUGUAUCUUCAGUUCCUAGCACAGAGAUGGACAGAAAUUGCUGUCUAUAAAAAGGGCUGCCUAUCUUCAAGAAACUCAAUCUAAUAGAGCUAACAUAUAAAUAAAUUGCAUUACUGUGAUUCAAGUCCAAAAAUAAAUUAGUAAUUUAUAUUCCUCACAAAGACAGUACAGCAAAGGGAUGGAUGAACUGUUCUUUAAGCUAGCCCUGAGAACCUUAAUUAAGCAGGGAACAUCUCAAUAUCUGAAACAGAUUUUUAUAAAUGAUUAGGAACUAGUCAGGUCAGGCAAUACAGGGAACAGAACAUUCAUGGGAGCCACGACACUGUAGUGUGUUCUGCUCAGGUGCACAUAUAACAAUUCUAAUUGCCAUGAAUUCUCUGACCUUGAAAAUUAGAUAUCCUGGGACCAGUCCUUCUGAGUGAUUUUUUUUUUAACAGAUAAAUGGCUUAAUUAGUUUAGAACUGCAACUGAAAUAUCUCUAUAAAACUUAGUAUUCCUUGAUUAUUAUAAAUACACAUAUAAUAUUAAAGAUUAUAUUUUUAUAUAUUAUUUAGGGGCUUGCUAUUCAGUUCCAUUGAUCAGUAUGCUUAUCCUUUCACAAAUAUUAAACACAUUUGACUAUCAUGGCUUUAUAACAUAUCAUGAUGUCUUAUAGGGUAGUCCUCCCACCUUAAUUUUCUUCUUUUUUUUCCUUCAAGAAUGCCUUGUCUAUUCUUGGAUUUCUUUCUCUUUCAUAUCAAAUUUUAGAAUCAGCUUGUCAAGUUUCACUAAAUAAAACUAUUGGAAUUUUUAUUGGAAUUUCAUUAAUUCUGAAAAUUAACUUGAGGAACACAAAUCUUUAUUAUAUUGAGCUUUUUAUCCAUGAAAUACAAUGUAUUUUCAUGUAUAUAGGUAUUUUUUAAUAUCUUUAAAUAAAACCUUAAAUUGUUUCCAUAUAGUUUUGUCUAUCUUUUGUUAGAUUUGUUACUCUGUACCUAUCUUUAUUGCUGUUAUAAAUGGUACUUUUAAUCCUUUUUAUUUCAUGUAUUACCAUGUUAGCUAGGAACCUCCAGUACAAAGUUAAGUGGCUAUGUUGAUGAUAGAUAACCUCCUGAUUUUAAAUGAAAUGCUAAUACAUUUUACCAUUAAGAAUGAUGUUUGCUGCUCAUUUUUGAUAGAGACUUUUUAUCAAAAUUAAAAUGUACCCCUGUAUUCCUAUU